CCUAUUCAAAAUUUUCAUCACUGCUGCAUACAAUGUUUCACAAUGCAAACAAGCAUCAUAAAAUAAUAAAAUAAAAUAAACAAAACAAUAAUUACACAAAAUAACAUUAAGAAAUGGAUCUUAUGAAAAGAAUAGGAGUAAAGGGAGUGAUAAGUACCAAUUUAUUGUACAUAUUGAAGUAGAUUAUAAAGAGGUAACAUAAUCCGAAUUCGCCGCCCUCGAACCAACACUACUGGCAGAUCAGAAAAUCGACACAAGUGAACCCCCAAUUGACUCCAAAUGAUGAAACACCACAAGCAAUGCUAGAUCACUCCCACCCUAAAACAGAACAGAGACAACAAAACAACACAAAUCUGAUCCACUACUGCAGAAUUCUGCAUGUUGUUUCACUCCAAACAUCCCUGCAACGUUAGCAGAACACACCAGAUGCACAAACUGAAGACCAAUUCCAAGCAGCCACAACUACACUACCGAAACGUGGAAGGAAAGGAAAAAAAUUUACCUUUUUCUCAAUGAUUGUGUUCACCACUAGCCUCACAUAGAAUUCGAUUAAUACUUUAAAUCAAAUCAUUUUAGGCUUAAAUGCUCUUUUGGAAGUUAACUUUUUUUUAAAACCCUAUUGGAAACCUAACAGAAGGGACCAAAAUGAGACUAAAAAAAAACUUAAAAUCCUCAAACAAUCUUUUUUUUAGUUAAGGGACCAAAGCGAUACCAAUUAAAUAGUUAAGGGACCAAAAGAGCAUUUAAGCCAUCAUUUUAAAUGACCUGUACACACAAUUAUCAAUUCAUGUAUACAUUAGAGUUUCAAGGCAUCCCAAUAUCCAUUUGGUACAAUGUUAAAACACUACAACCUUCACAAUUGUAUUGAUAAGAUAAUCAGAACGCCACUCUUUAGAAUAUUUAGCAAUACACAACUUAAAAUAAUUUCAGAAAAAUCACAUUUCUUCUAAGUUCAAAAGAUGGAAAGAAUUUAGUAAAAUCAAAUGACCUAAAUCUUAUCCUCAGAAUUCAAAAGAGGGAAAAACCUAACUAUGAGACAACACGAAAUUUGGAACAAAGGGUUUUUCAGAUUAUCUUUCCAUUUCAAUUUACAAAUCCACUUCCUAGUUUUCAUGUUUUUCUCCAAAUUAGGUAUUAUAAUAAGAGAAUUAGAUAAUAACGAUUAAGCCAACGACAAAGGAAGUAAAGUACGGUGAUUACCCAAAAUUUUCCAGAGAGUAAAGCUUGAAGAUGAACGCGCACAAAGGAGCCCUUUUGUUUCAGAAACCCUUAAUUAUGUUUGUAGGGUUCAAUCGGUUUAGCUUUUAGGUGUUCUGUCUACGAUGGUGAUUUUGUGAGUGAGUAUGGUACGAUGGAAGAAGGCUUCAGGUGAGUGAGUUAGUGGGUUGGAAGAAGAACUUUGAGUGCGUGAGUGAGUUACAAAAUGGAAAAUUGUGUGGAGUUAUGGGGGAGUGAGAUUGAGAGCGAAAUAAAAAAUAUAUGUUGCGCAUCUUUUUAUUUUAAAAAAAACCCGCAUAUUUAUAGCCUUUAAAAUAGCGUUUCUUCAAAGAGUGCUAACAAAGCAGUAUUCAUCUAUGAUAGCAUUUAGCCAACAAACGCUAUUAGAAUAUUUCGCUGGUACAUUAAAAUAGCGUUACUCAUAAAACGAUAUUAUAGGGGAUGCCCCAUAAUAGCUGCCAACGAAAAAGUGCUUUUGUUAACCUCUGUUUGAAUUUUUAAUAGCAUUUUUUAAAGAAGUUCUAUUAAAUGGGCGCUAUUAAAACUCAAAAUUGUGGUAGUGAUGUUAUGCAUGAAGAAAUCUUCAACAAACGUUCAAUAAACUUGCAUGUUUGAUUAAUUCAAGUUCUGUUACCCAAAUAGACCAAUUACAUUACAUCAUUACAUUGAUUUCUAUCCAAAUGAGUUUUGAAUGGAGCAAUAUGAAACACAAAGCAUGUUUGAUUAAUUCAUAAUAAUAAUUGUGAUAUUAGGCAAAAAAAAGUUGCAUAGCUUGUAUACUCGACACUCACCGACUCCCAAUUAUCAAAUAAAAAGCAUCAGUUUGUAUGAUGGUAAAAAAUUGAAGAUCCAAAGGAAGUAGAGGACACAUAGCAUAUAAAAUAACACCACUUUCAAACUACGAAAUGAUGUGGGAUUGAAAUGAAUAACACCACUUCCUGAACUCAUGGAAACAGUUGAAUUGCAAAUCAUGCUCUCCUAUAUCAAAGCGCUGAACCGUGGACACUACAAGAAUUCAUCAAAUUAGUAACCAAUUGAAAAUUGCAUUACUGACGGGUUUGAACCCUCAUUAAUUAUUGGCGAUCUAAACCCUCACUGAUGCAAAAAAAAAAACCCUCAAUAACAUUUUACUGCGAAAUAAACCCUCAAUAAUUCAAAAAGUUACACCCAGAAAAAUAAUUAUCAUUAUUUUAAUAUUACCGAUAGAAAAAAUCCGUCAAUAAUGUUAAUGACAAGUCUGGAUUGAAUUAGUGGCAGAUUGUAUCCUCCAAUAAUGUCACUAAUAUUUUAACAAAAUAAGAAAUCCGCCAAUAAUCCAUCCCUUCUUCCUCUCUCUCGUCUGGCCUCUUCUCUCACUUCUCUCUUUCACUCUUCGCGUCUCUCUAUCAGAAGCAGUUCUCAUCUCUCUUCUUCUCUCCACCGCUCGUUUUUGAAAUUCUAACCAAUCUCUCUUCCACUCCCUUCUUCAAAUCUAGUCGUCACUAUCUCUCAGUUCUCACCCACUCUAAUUGGAAAAUUGGAAAAUUGUUUUAGGCUUAAUGAACUUGGCUUGUUUAUGAACGUUGCAGAAUUGUUCAUAAUUUGCUUUAGAAAAUUGCUUUAAGUUUCAGAAUUGCUUUAGGUUUGAGAAUUGCUUGUUUUUUUAUUUGUUUAUGAUAAGCUAGAAUUGCUUGUUUCAGAAUUGCUUUAAGUUUGAGAAUUGCUUGUUUUACAAUUGUUUAUGAUAAGCUAGGAUUUAUUGUUUCAGAAUUGCUAAUUCCAAUCAGUUAUGCAUUACUGGCCAUACUAUCAAAAUGCAUCAUGUUUGACAGCAUGAUUGGUCUAAAUUUCAUGAAAGUCUCUGUUAGGUCAUAAUAUCUAAAUUUCAUGAAAGUCUCUGUUAGGUCAUGACAGCCUUCUGUUGGUGCUGUUGCAAAUUUUAGGUGUUGUUGGGAGGUUUUUAGUUUUUCUAUUUUUUGUUGUUUUCUGUUUCCGGCUGCGCUGCUGUUUGGAUGCUGCUAUGCGCGGUUGUUUGGUUGUGCUGGCAGGUGGAUUUUUUCUUCUGUUGUUCUGUUUGUAACAGGUGGGGGAAGGAGUUUUAUUCUAUUGUUUGAUUUCCGUCUAUAUGCAGUACCUUUUGUAGCCCUUUCUUGUGCGAGUUUUGGAUGAUGUGCGAGUUUACGAGUUUUGGUAUCAGCUUUUGGAUGAUACUUCACUAGAUUGACGGACAUUGGAAAAACUAUACUUCAACUGGCUGCAAGAAGCAAUCUUAAGCCGAUGACAUUAGAACUUGGAGGGAAAUCGCCUUUCAUUGUCUUUGAGGAAGCUGAUAUUGACAAGGUUGUUGAAAUUGCUCACUUUGCUCUUUGCUUUAAUCAGGUUUAUAUUCCUUGUCUCAUUUUUUCUUUUUCUUCUUCUGUUCUUGUGUUGAUUUAACCAUACUUUUCAUGGGAAAGGUUAAUGUUUGACGGAACAACAUACUCUUGAUCAUACGAUAAUGUAACAUAACACUGUUUUGUGGUCCUUGCAAAAAAUCAUAGAUCGAUUUGAAACAUUAUUUUUUCUUAUUUUUAGUAUAAUUUAGUUCAUAGUUUCUUUGAAAUUUUAGCCACACCAAUAUCUAAGGUUAGUAUAAUUCAUUAAUGCUUAUAGCUUCUGAAUCAUUGCAUAUAGUUGAUGUGUUCUUGAUGUUAAUAAAUGACACUAGUUAAAGAAGCUUAUUGAUGAUAAAUUUCAGCAACUAUGUGCUAAUUGUGUUUUAUAUCAAUCAAAACUUGAAGUAAAGCAAAUGUCAUUUGUGGCUAUACAACUUUAUUUAACAACAAGGUGCUGCCAUGGUUUUUUGGUGUUGACAUAUAUGUAGUUAGGUUUUGUAAUCAAUUGAUACUAUAUUUCACUCUAUACAUUUUAUUCUACUCUAUUGGUGUAAUUUUUAAUUUUAAACUUUUACAUAGUAUAUCCCUUUCAUAACCCUUGAUAGAAUUUUACAGCCGAUUUUCCAACUAAAGUAUAAUAAAAUUACAUCAGACACCUUAUGCUCCACUAGUGUCAUUUGAGAUGAACAUUUUGUACACAAAUACACAAGAAUUCCAAUUUUGUGUAUAAUCUUGGUUCUAACUUCAAUAGAGGAAGUCUCUUGGUUUACAUAUGUACUAGUAAUAGGAAGUGCAUCUUUGAUGCAGUCAUCAAUUCUCCCGAGAGGCCACCAUUACCGAGAGCAAACAUAUUAAUGACGAGGAACGCAUUUUUGGUAUGCUACUUUGCUCUGCUGUUCUGCCCCAAGCCGAAGAAUUAACAAAACAAAAAUAAAUAUAGUAUUCAUAUUUAUUUUCAUUUUAAGAACGAAAUAAGGUCACACUAUUUCAUUUCAAGAAAAUAUCGAUAGCUAAGUUCCAUAGCUUUGCUUCCACUAGCCCGAUCCUAGUUGAUUUUCUUAUCCAAAAAGUCNUGAUUUGAUUUUAAGUUGUUUAUUAACUUUUCUUGUUGAUUUUUAGUUGUUUCAUCAUCUUCAAGUGUUGAUUGGUGUAUCAGUUCUUGUUGGAGGAGAUAUUGGAGGUCCUUUGGUGCUGGAGUGGUAUGUGAGGGUCGGUUUAGGCUAGUAUUGCUGGAUGUUUGUAGUAGAUGUGUGUUACUUUUGUACAUAUGUUUUGGUCAAGAAACCUUUGCUCUGAAGUAGUUGUAAUAAUUUUAACCUCAUUGUUGAUGUUGUUAUUUUAUUGCUAAUAAAUUUAAGUUGAUUCUUAACUUUUCUUAAGCAAUUGUCAUUUUCUAGGUUAAGUUGAUUCUGAUUUGAUUUUAAGUUGAAUGAUUUUUUUUCCUUUUUCUACCUUUUUUCUUGAUUAGUACACCAUGCUAUGAUAUGAGAAUAAGCAUUGUGAUAUUUAAGUUUGGCUAAAUGAAAAUGAGAAUUCUAAACUAACUUUGAACUUUCUCGUGGAAUCUCUUACGCUUCAGAUUUCUCUGCAGAUUCUUCACUAAACAUUUGGAUCGACUCCGCAUCUCUAGCGAAUCAGGUUUGUUCAUUAUGUCGUGUUUAUUAAGUUUCCCGUGCUGGUGCAUUUGAUUAGUUUGGUUACUCUAGAAAAGUUGAAAUAUUCAAUGGCUAAUAUACCAUUAGUAUAGCUAUCAGAAUAUGGUCUUAUUAUAAGUAAUUAUUAGAAGAUAAACUAUAGUCUCUAAGUUAAGCUAAGUGGUUUUGUCCCUUCAUCAAUUUACUUGUUAGAUAAUUAGAUAUGACAUAUAUAUCAUGAUAAUUAGAUAUUCCUUCUUUAUUUAUUUUCCUGAUGGUUAGUUUCUUUCAUCACAUAGAUUUUAUUUAUUUUAUUUUCUUGAUUAACUCUGUCAUUAGAUGAUUCUUUUUAUUUCUUGUAGGUUAAGAUUAAAAGCUAAUAUGCAGACUUGAAGAUGAAAACUUGAAGAUGGAUACUUGGUUAUGUGUACAUCAAAGUAAAGGGAAUGUGAUUUGAAUUGAUUGGUGUAUGAUACUAAGGUCUAAGUACUCAUAUUUUAUAUUGGAUCAACAUUAUUAGUUAUAUAGAGCUUAUUUAAUGGUGUUUGCUUAAUAAAAGUAAUUCCUAGUUUCUUUGAUGUAAUACAUUAAAGGAAAUGCCAAAUUGUUGAUAUACAUUAUGAAACCGAUUGAUUUUAGUUUGAUAUUUAAUUUGGUUCAUUUUACGUAUAAAUAUUUGAUUCAUGUUAACUGUUAAGUAAUAUAGUAUUAAAUUGUUCUCAAAACUCAAUGGCAACUUUUUUAGUUGUUCUCAUUAAUAGCAUAGAAUUUAGAGUGUUGCUAACAACAACAGUUAAUUUUACUUUCUAGAAUCAAUGGCAACGGUUAUAUCUUUUCUCUUUAACGGCUAUGGCAACGGCCUUUAUCUGUUGCAAUUACCUAUAUACAAUAAUACCUUUGUUAGAAGAAAAGGCAACGCCUUAGACUACAACGCUGAAAAAGCAUUGUCGUAAGAUAUGGCAACGCUUUUAACGAAUCAGGCAACGCUUUUCAGCCGUUGUUACAGACCGAAAAUGUUGUAAGCAAUGUGUUUUAGUUUUUAAUAUGAACUAAGUAUAAUUUAAAAAAAACCAGAUCUCUCAAAUCAAUAUUAGAAACCAAAAUUUAAAUCCAAAAUAAGCUUCUAAGAAGUACAAAAUAAUGUCAGUGUAAACGCUUAAAUCCUUAAAAAUGAAAGAGUAUGAAACUUACUUUUUGAAGAUCUUUGUAACUAAAAUUACUACAGAAAUAGUGUCAUCUCCAAGUCAUCUGAAAUGAGACAAUGGGUAUUUCAAGGACUUAAUUAUAGAACAUUUAUCAACAUAUAUUUAACUUUUGUAUCUAUGUUGUGUGGAAGCAAGAGAGAGAAAAAAUGUUUCAGAAAAAUGUCUCAGUUGUCUGAUAUGUCUCGUAUGAGUGUUAUAUAGGUGUCGGACACCGGUGUAAGGAGUGUCGGAGUAAAGAAAAAACAAUUGUAUUUAGGACUAAUAUUGGUCUCCAAAGUAUGCACGACAGCGAGUGGUGAUAUCGCUGCAAGAUGCAAACAAAUAACACACACACAAGCACACACAAUCAACUUGAUUAUUAAUAAAAACAUAACUAAUAAUAGAUUUAGCUCCCUUACAAAACCCACACAAAGGUUACAAGAAUAGUUCCAAUAGCAAAUUCAACUACAAUCACAGUCACAAGGAAAAGACAAACCUUCAAAACCUACAACGAAAAUCACACCAAGUUCAAAACCCUAAAUGCUCCUAUUCAAAAUUUUCAUCACUGCUGCAUACAAUGUUUCACAAUGCAAACAAGCAUCAUAAAAUAAUAAAAUAAAAUAAACAAAACAAUAAUUACACAAAAUAACAUUAAGAAAUGGAUCUUAUGAAAAGAAUAGGAGUAAAGGGAGUGAUAAGUACCAAUUUAUUGUACAUAUUGAAGUAGAUUAUGAAGAGGUAACAUAAUCCGAAUUCGCCGCCCUCGAACCAACACUACUGGCAGAUCAGAAAAUCGACACAAGUGAACCCCCAAUUGACUCCAAAUGAUGAAACACCACAAGCAAUGCUAGAUCACUCCCACCCUAAAACAGAACAGAGACAACAAAACAACACAAAUCUGAUCCACUACUGCAGAAUUCUGCAUGUUGUUUCACUCCAAACAUCCCUGCAACGUUAGCAGAACACACCAGAUGCACAAACUGAAGACCAAUUCCAAGCAGCCACAACUACACUACCGAAACGUGGAAGGAAAGGAAAAAUAUUUACCUUUUUCUCAAUGAUUGUGUUCACCACUAGCCUCACAUAGAAUUCGAUUAAUACAUUAAAUCAAAUCAUUUUAAAUGACAUGUACACACAAUUAUCAAUUCAUGUAUACAUUAGAGUUUCAAGGCAUCCCAAUAUCCAUUUGGUACAAUGUUAAAACACUACAACCUUCACAAUUGUAUUGAUAAGAUAAUCAGAACGCCACUCUUUAGAAUAUUUAGCAAUACACAACUUAAAAUAAUUUCAGAAAAAUCACAUUUCUUCUAAGUUCAAAAGAUGGAAAGAAUUUAGUAAAAUCAAAUGACCUAAAUCUUAUCCUCAGAAUUCAAAAGAGGGAAAAACCUAACUAUGAGACAACACGAAAUUAGGAACAAAGGGUUUUUCAGAUUAUCUUUCCAUUUCAAUUUACAAAUCCACUUCCUAGUUUUCAUGUUUUUCUCCAAAUUAGGUAUUAUAAUAAGAGAAUUAGAUAAUAACGAUUAAGCCAACGACAAAGGAAGUAAAGUAUGGUGAUUACCCAAAAUUUUCCAGAGAGUAAAGCUUGAAGAUGAACGCGCACAAAGGAGCCCUUUUGUUUCAGAAACCCUUAAUUAUGUUUGUAGGGUUCAAUCGAUUUAGCUUUUAGGUGUUCUGUCUACGAUGGUGAUUUUGUGAGUGAGUAUGGUACGAUGGAAGAAGGCUUCAGGUGAGUGAGUUAGUGGGUUGGAAGAAGAACUUUGAGUGCGUGAGUGAGUUACAAAAUGGAAAAUUGUG
rnacentral:lncRNA from 1 species